GGGGGGGGGGGGCGGCGGGGCGGGGGGAGGCGGGUCGGGCGAGGGGGCGAGAAGCGUGCUGCGCUGAUGUUAGCGGCGGGCGGGUGAGGAGCACGUGGAGAACCUACCUAUAAGACUGGGAUAACUUCGGGAAACCGGAGCUAAUACCGGAUAAUAUUUUGAACCGCAUGGUUCAAACGUGAAAGACGGUCUUGCUGUCACUUAUAGAUGGAUCCGCGCUGCAUUAGCUAGUUGGUAAGGUAACGGCUUACCAAGGCAACGAUGCAUAGCCGACCUGAGAGGGUGAGCGGCCACACUGGAACUGAGACACGGUCCAGACUCCUACGGGAGGCAGCAGUAGGGAAUCUUCCGCAAAGGGCGAAAGCCUGACGGAGCAACGCCGCGUGAGUGAUGAAGGUCUUCGGAUCGUAAAACUCUGUUAUUAGGGAAGAACAUAUGUGUAAGUAACUGUGCACAUCUUGACGGUACCUAAUCAGAAAGCCACGGCUAACUACGUG
rnacentral:rRNA from 1 species